rnacentral:rRNA from 1 species
CAGUCGCCACGGGAAUACAGAGGGUGCGAGCGUUAAUCGGAUUUACUGGGCGUAAAGCGUGCGUAGGCGGCUUUUUAAGUCGGAUGUGAAAUCCCCGAGCUUAACUUGGGAAUUGCAUUCGAUACUGGUUAGCUAGAGUGUGGGAGAGGAUGGUAGAAUUCCAGGUGUAGCGGUGAAAUGCGUAGAGAUCUGGAGGAAUACCGAUGGCGAAGGCAGCCAUCUGGCCUAACACUGACGCUGAGGUACGAAAGCAUGGGGAGCAAACAGGAUUAGAUACCCCUGUAGUCCCUGUCUCUUAUAC